rnacentral:rRNA from 1 species
UGAACCUGCGGAGGGAUCAUUACCGAGUUUACCAACUCCCAAACCCCAUGGUGAACAUACCUGUUUUCGUUCCCUCGGCGGUGUCCGGCAACGGCCCGCCAGAGGACCCAACAAACUCUUUUGAAUUUUUCAGUAUCUUCUGAGUAAAAAAAACAAUAAAUCAAAACUUUCAACAACGGAUCUCUUGGUUCUGGCAUCGAUGAAGAACGCAGCGAAAUGCGAUAAGUAAUGUGAAUUGCAGAAUUCAGUGAAUCAUCGAAUCUUUGAACGCACAUUGCGCCCGCCAGUAUUCUGGCGGGCAUGCCUGUUCGAGCGUCAUUUCAACCCUCAAGCUCUGCUUGGUGUUGGGGAUCGGCAAGGCGUCCUCCGGGUCGCGCCGUCCCCCAAAUAUAGUGGCGGUCUCGCUGUAGCUUCCUCUGCGUAGUAAUACACCUCGCUCUGGAGUCUCGGUGCGACCACGCCGUAAAACCCCCAACUUUUUUCUGGUUGACCUCGAAUCAGGUAGGACUACCCGCUGAACUUAAGCAUAUCAAUAA